rnacentral:rRNA from 1 species
UACGUAGGGUGCGAGCGUUACUCGGAAUUACUGGGCGUAAAGCGUGCGCAGGCGGUUUUGUAAGCCAGAUGUGAAAUCCCCGGGCUUAACCUGGGAAUGGCAUUUGGGACUGCAAGGCUUGAGUGCGGCAGAGGAGACUGGAAUUCCUGGUGUAGCAGUGAAAUGCGUAGAUAUGCGGAGGAACACCGAUGGCGAAGGCAAUCCCCUGGGCCUGCACUGACGCUCAUGCACGAAAGCGUGGGGAGCAAACAGG